UGUAUUUCUUGUAUUACGUAUGUUUUAAACUUGGAACAAAUGAGAGACAUCAACCCAGUGGAGAAUAAUAGCUGCUCCAUGUUGCUAAUGGAAAAUCUAUGAAGAUUUUCUAGUACAAGCUCUGUAUACCAGCCACAAUAAUGCACUUUCUAAGAAUCUGAAGGAGCAUCAUGGGGAUUUUCUUUUUGUUUUACUCUACUUUUUGCUAAUCUGAGUGAUGGUGCGUUCACGUGUAGCAGAUUGCAAUCCGUGCCAAAAUCUGGAGUCGGAAAUGGCACAGCUGCUAAAGAUUUAGAAGUGAAGAUGCAAAAGUCAUAGAAAUUGGUGAAAUGAUUGCAAGCAGCACAGGCAAACUGGACUAGGAUUCAGAUAUUGGUUCUUGGUAGUGUUAGAAAGUUAUGUGGUGUUGCCCUUUGGUUCAUGUGGCUGGAAACACUAUGCACGGUCUUGUUUUGAUUGGAAUUAUGGAAAAAUCGUAGUGUGCAUGUUGAUUGUAUUUCUGAAUGCAAGUGAUGAGCAAUGGACCUCUCCAAUGUUUUUAUCUGUUUUUUAUUCGUAACGAGAGACGCGUAUAUUCAUCUAAUGUGAUAAACGGUUCCAUUUAACGGAC
rnacentral:lncRNA from 1 species